UACGUAGGGUGCGAGCGUUAAUCGGAAUUACUGGGCGUAAAGCGUGCGCAGGCGGUCUGUUAAGACAGAUGUGAAAUCCCCGGGCUUAACCUGGGAACUGCAUUUGUGACUGGCAGGCUAGAGUAUGGCAGAGGGGGGUAGAAUUCCACGUGUAGCAGUGAAAUGCGUAGAGAUGUGGAGGAAUACCGAUGGCGAAGGCAGCCCCCUGGGCCAAUACUGACGCUCAUGCACGAAAGCGUGGGAGCAAACAGG
rnacentral:rRNA from 1 species